UACGGAGGGUGCAAGCGUUAUCCGGAUUUACUGGGUUUAAAGGGUGUGUAGGCGGAUUUUUAAGUCAGAGGUGAAAUCUCCAGGCUCAACCUGGAAACUGCCCCUGAUACUAUUAGUCUUGAAUAUUGAUGAGGUGGGCGGAACGGGUCAUGUAGCGGUGAAAUGCGCAGAUAUCAGGAAGAACACCCGUGGCUAAGGCGGCUCUCUAGUACGGUACUGACGCUGAGACGCGAAAGCGUGGGGAGCGAACAGG
rnacentral:rRNA from 1 species